UGGCGGUAUUUUUUACUUUUUAGGGGAACUUGUCACGUAAAUGAUGACCCACGAGAUAAAAUUCUUAAAAGGAAGCUUAUAUAUCGCUGUUAAAAAUGAGUGGGAAGAGUAUUAUUUAAGAAAUUAAAAUAUUAAAUGACAAGUCAAGGUGUAGUGACUUUUUAAGAGUGGAUGAGUUACAUUAAUUUAAAAUUAUGGAUUUAAUUUUAAGUUUUUAAUGAAAUUGGAUUUAAAAGUAAAUGAAUUAAGUUUAAUAAAUUGAUUUAAGUACUAAAAU
rnacentral:rRNA from 1 species